rnacentral:rRNA from 1 species
AUGGCGGUAGGAGGAGUGCGGAGACGUCAUGCCAUGGUCACGUGGGAACCCAAGGCAGUGAAGGCAGCACCCGAGAAACGGAAAAUAGAGCGAGGCCACGAAUCCGCGAGCCGGUUGCAACUUCCACCACGCCAUGUCCAAAGCUUCCUCCAUGUCCAUGCCCCAAAGUACAUAAGUCGGAUCGCGUGGCCUCUAUAUCGUUACCAACCCGAGCAAGACAGAACCAAGCAGAGCCAUCGAUCGAUUGAAGAAAAGUCGGAGAGCGUGCGUGCAAGAAAGCAUGGGCCGCCGGAGCUACUACGGGUAUUAUCCCCGUCUCCAAUCGAUUAUGGACAAGGUGCUGGCCAUCUCCACGCUGAGCAUGUCGUCGGCAGACAUCGCCCCCGGCACGGGCAGCACGGCUCGGCUCUGCUGGCUGGGGUCGAAGCUACAGGAGGACGAGCAGACUGGAUCAGCUGGGAAACAGGGGAAGCAGGGCGGUCUGCUGGUGGAGGAAGAGCAGCAGCCGGGCAAGGGGAAAUCGCAAUCACAGCUGCCGCGGUUCGUGCCGGAGUUUGA